ACGCAGGGGGCGAGCGUUGUUCGGAAUUACUGGGCGUAAAGAAAAGAAAGGCGGGGAUGUAAGUCUGGCGUGAAAGUCUACAGAUUAAAUGUGGGAUUGCGGUGGGAACGAGAUGAUUAGAGUUAAGUAGAAAGAGCCAGAAUUCCUGGUGUAAGGGUGGAAUGUGCAGAGAUCAGAAAGAAUACCGAGGGUGAGGGGAAGGUCAUAACCCAUUACGGACGCUGUGGUGCGAGAGUGUUGGGAUCGAACAA
rnacentral:rRNA from 1 species